rnacentral:lncRNA from 1 species
UUUGAAGCGUCUAUGAUAAACAGAGAGCAAAUUAGAAUCCAAGGAAGUUGACAUGUCAUCACUUCAUUUUUUUGCGCCUGCGCAUAAAUCUGAGAAGCGUGAGUUUGUCAUCAUUGUUUAUCUAGACAUAGGAUAGGUUGUGUGAAAAUAUUACUGAUGUUUAACGUUAAAAAUGGACCAAAAGAUUAAUGCUAAACAACAUUUGACAUGUUUGAACGAAAAUAAAUAGAUUAUUUACUAGGUUUUUUUAGCUUUUCGGCGUGAUUUUACACUCCCCCCACCACGUUUUGAGGGAGCAUAAUGAACGCUAAGUACUUGGUGUUAUUUGGACAUAAAUUAUGAACUUUGUCAAAAGAAACCACAUUUGUUCCGGACCUGGGAUGCCUUCCGGACCUGGGAUGCCUGCCUUCUGAUGGAGAUAAUCAAAGGCCCACCUCUCUCCCCCGUCUCAUCGAUGGCCAACCGACGUACACGGUGAGGCGUCUCCUGAAGGUUCGACCUCGGGAAAGGGAAUUCCAGUACGUGGUUGACUGGGAGGGUUAUGUCCUGGAGGAGAGGUGCUGGGUCCCGGCUAGGGACAUCCUGGACACAGGCCUCAUUGCUGAUUUCCAAUGCCGGCUCCCCGGUCAACCAGUUCCUGUUUUCCCGGUUUUAACAAUUUCUGCACCUUGUCAUCCCACCCUGGAUUAUUGACCUCUGCCUGCCCUUGGCCUGUCGUUUUGCCUGCCCCUGUUCUAGUAAUACACUUUUGUUACUUCAACAGUGUCUGCAUCUGGGUCUUCUACUGAAACGUGAUACAUGAAUUAUAAUCCACAUAGAAAUUCACAUUUCAUGUUGCUGCAUUAUUAUUUUCCAGCUGUGAGAAAUUGGUAAAAAUUAAGAUCCUGUACCUGGGUAGCUGUCUCGGAUGACAUCUCCAUUCAUGUUAGUGGAACAUUCCAGUAAUGUUUUCUCAGAACCAAUUUAAUUGAAUCCAGACAUGAUCGCUGAAAAAUGUUUAGGAAACAUUAAUGGAAUAAUCAUGUCAUAACGUCACAAUUGUCACGUCCUGACCAGUAAAAGGGGUUGUUUGUUAUUGUAGUUUGGUCAGGGCGUGUUUGUUUUAUGUGUUUCGGGGUUUUUUGGUUAAUGUCUAUGUUGGUAUAUUUCUAUGUUUGUUCUAGUUUUCUAUUUCUAUGUUUAGUUUACUUGAUUGACCUUCAAUUGGAGGCAGCUGUUCCUCGUUGCCUCUAAUUGAAGGUCCUAUUUAGUAGGGGUGUUUUUCUAUGGGUUUUUGUGGGUAGUUGUUCCGUAUGUAAGCUGUGUGCCUUACAGGACUGUUCUCGUCGUUGUUUUUGUUUAAGUGUUUAUUUUGGUUUUCUUCACAAUAAAGAAGAUGAGUAUUCACAUUCCCGCUGCACCUUGGUCCCAUCUUUACGACGAACGUGACAGAACUACCCACCACCAACGGACCAAGCAGCGGGUCCAGGAGGAGCAAGGAUCCUGGGCCAGGGAAAGAAGGGAGCAGCACCAGGAGUGGAGCAAGCAGCAUGCUCGGGAGGAGAUGGCAUCCUGGUCGCUGGAGGUAUUAGAGGCAAGAAUAGACUGGACGUGGGAACAGCUACUGGACCAUUGCUACUGCCUGCCUGGGAAGCAGGUGGAGGUGGAGAGGCAGCCCCAAGAAAACAUUUUUGGGGGGCACACGGGAAGAUUGGCUAGGUCAGGCGGUAGACGUAAGCCAACUCCCCGUGCUUAUUAUGGGGAGCAGCGGAUCAUGAGAGCGCCGGUCUAUGUGGAAGUGCGUACGAUCUCGCCGAUGCGAUUCCAGCC